rnacentral:rRNA from 1 species
CUUGCUCAGGACGAACGCUGGCGGCAUGCNUAAUACAUGCAAGUCGAGCGAAUGACGAAGAAGCUUGCUUNUUCUGAUUUAGCGGCGGACGGGUGAGUAACACGUGGGCAACCUGCCCUGUAGAUUGGGAUAACUCCGGGAAACCGGGGCUAAUACCGAAUAAUCCAUUUCCUCUCAUGNGNNAAUGUUAAAAGACGGUUUCGGCUGUCACUACAGGAUGGGCCCGCGGCGCAUUAGCUAGUUGGUGAGGUAACGGCUCACCAAGGCGACGAUGCGUAGCCGACCUGAGAGGGUGAUCGGCCACACUGGGACUGAGACACGGCCCAGACUCCUACGGGAGGCAGCAGUAGGGAAUCUUCCACAAUGGACGAAAGUCUGAUGGAGCAAUGCCGCGUGAGUGAAGAAGGUUUUCGGAUCGUAAAACUCUGUUGUGAGGGAAGAACAAGUANGAGAGUAACUGCUCGUACCUUGACGGGACCUC